rfam:Oryza sativa (indica cultivar-group) chromosome 10, whole genome shotgun sequence.
AAUAAACGCAGCUACGAGAGUUUCAGUGCCAAACUUUAAUUAUCCGUCUUAUUUUAAAUUUUUUUAUGAUUAGUAUUUUUAUUAUUAUUAGAUUAUAAAACAUGAAUAGGACUUUAUGCACGACUUAUGUUUUUUAAUUUUUUUAAAAUAAAUGCAAAUAAGAUGAACACGAUUAAAGUUGAACAUGGAAACUCAUGGCUGCGCUUAUU